UACGGGGGGUGCGAGCGUUGUCCGGAAUCACUGGGCGUAAAGGGCGCGUAGGUGGUUUGAUAAGGGUGUGGUGAAAGCCCGGGGCUCAACCCCGGGUCUGCCGUGCCGACUGUCAAACUCGAGGGCUGUAGAGGCAGACGGAAUUCCGGGUGUAGCGGUGGAAUGCGUAGAGAUCCGGAGGAAGACCGGUGGUGAAGGCGGUCUGCUGGGCAGUUUCUGACACUGAUGCGCGACAGCGUGGGGAGCAAACAGG
rnacentral:rRNA from 1 species